rnacentral:rRNA from 1 species
UACGUAGGGGGCAAGCGUUGUCCGGAUUUAUUGGGCGUAAAGAGCGUGUAGGCGGCCAGACAGGUCCGUUGUGAAAACUCGAGGCUCAACCUCGAGAUGUCGAUGGAAACCGUCUGGCUAGAGUCCGGAAGAGGAGUGUGGAAUUCCUGGUGUAGCGGUGAAAUGCGCAGAUAUCAGGAAGAACACCAAUAGCGAAGGCAGCUCGCUGGGACGGUACUGACGCUAAGGCGCGAAAGCGUGGGGAGCGAACAGG